UAACAACUCUCAGCAACGGAUAUCUCGGCUCUUGCAUCGAUGAAGAACGCAGCGAAAUGCGGUAAAUGGUGUGAAUUGCAGAAUCCCGUGAACCAUCGAGUCUUUGAACGCAAGUUGCGCCCGAGGCCAUCAGGCCAAGGGCACGCCUGCCUGGGCAUUGCGA
rnacentral:rRNA from 1 species